CCGACAUACAGAUACACACACACUGACACAGACACUCAUACUCCUGUUAGAUUACCUUUGUCUGCUGGAGGGUGGCUUGCUCUGUGUUGGCUGAGGCUGAUGGGAGUGAGCAUGCAGUAGCAGCUCACUCCAGCCUCUCUUCUCCCUCCAUGCUGCUGUGAGGCUCUGCUGCCUCUUCCCUCCAGUCCUCCUCUGAAGUUCUCUGUAAAGCAGGUAGAAAGUGACAGGCUGACAUCACUUCCUCCCUGCCAGCGGAUAGUCUGCUCUUAGAGGGACACUCCAGGCACCCAGACCACUUCUGCCCAUUGGAGUGGUCUGGGUGCCAACUCCCACUACUCUUAACUAUUGCAAUUUUCAUAAUAG